AUUGAACGCUGGCGGAAUGCUUUACACAUGCAAGUCGAACGGCAGCACGGGGCAACCUGGUGGCGAGUGGCGAACGGGUGAGUAAUACAUCGGAACGUGCCCAGUCGUGGGGGAUAACGUAGCGAAAGUUACGCUAAUACCGCAUACGAUCUAAGGAUGAAAGCGGGGGAUCGCAAGACCUCGCGCGAUUGGAGCGGCCGAUGUCAGAUUAGGUAGUUGGUGGGGUAAAGGCCCACCAAGCCGACGAUCUGUAGCUGGUCUGAGAGGACGACCAGCCACACUGGGACUGAGACACGGCCCAGACUCCUACGGGAGGCAGCAGUGGGGAAUUUUGGACAACGGGCGCAAGCCUGAUCCAGCCAUGCCGCGUGCAGGAUGAAGGCCUUCGGGUUGUAAACUGCUUUUGUACAGAACGAAAAGGUUUGGGCUAAUAAGCUGAGCUCAUGACGGUACCGUAAGAAUAAGCACCGGCUAACUACGUGCCAGCCGCCGCAGUAA
rnacentral:rRNA from 1 species